AGUGGUCUUCCGGGAGGAAACGGUCAGAAAGGCUCACCGGGACCGUCUGGACUUCCAGGUUUUCCUGGAUCACCAGGACCUCCGGGACCACCGGGUCUCCCUGGAGUAUUCGACCAUACUAGAGAUCUUCAGUGUCCAUCGCUCUGCCCACCGGGCCUUCCAGGACCACCGGGAAUACCCGGAUUCA